GAUUAAAGGAAUGCAAGUCAACGCCAUGAGUCAUGACGUUGUCGGGCUUGGCAAAAUAUCUGUCAUCAUUUGAAAUUUGAUAUGGUUUCACCUCUGAUGAACUCCGUCGCGUUAAAACUCGUGCUGUCAGUCGGCGUUUGACCCUGCUGCUAGGCUGAAGAAUAUCUCGCAACACAGCCAAAGAUCAGAAAAGAAGAUACUGUAUUUUAUAUACAUUGUACAUUUGCGGACAUCGGAAAAGCUAGUGGGCUCACGUGAAAAGAUUGAUUUAAGGUAGGGUUCAUUUGUAUUGUAUUGUAUUGUAUUUUUACGGCUCGCAUAUAAAAUUGAUCAAUUGUAUGCAACCCUUUAAGAUAAUAAAUUGACCUGCGUCGAUCUGCCCCGAUUUUUUUUAUAAAUCCUGUCUUAUUUAUCCACGAUAAUAUUUCGAACGUUCACAAUAUUAAUCACAGAACCAGGCAAUUCUACUCCGUAUUGUGUUUCAAAAUUGUUGUGAAUAAAUAUUGAUGUUUCUCUCGAGUACACGGCUGUCACAAUGAUAUUAUCAUAUAGUGCAUUAUAGAAAUGAAUAUUGAUGGCGAACGAGAGCAAUAUCAUGUUGUAGGUUAAUUCAUUGAUAUAUUGUUCCGUAAAUUUGACACUGUUUUCAAUAUAUCGA
rnacentral:lncRNA from 1 species